AGCCUGAACGCUGGCGGCGUGGCUAAGACAUGCAAGUCGUACGGAGGUAGCAAUACCUCAGUGGCGAACGGGUGAGUAAUGAAUCGUUAACGUGCCCCGGACUCUGGGAUAGCCGGUCGAAAGGCCGGGUAAUACCAGAUGAUAUACCUUUAUCGCAUGAUAGAGGUCUCAAAGGUCCGCCGGUCUGGGAGCGGGCGAUUUCGUAUCAGCUAGUUGGUGAGGUAACGGCUCACCAAGGCGACGACGCGUAGCCGGACUGAGAGGUUGGCCGGCCACAUUGGGACUGAGACACUGCCCAGACUCCUACGGGGGCUGCAGUAACGAAUCUUCCGCAAUGCACGAAAGUGUGACGGAGCGACGCCGCGUGUGGGACGAAGCCCUUCGGGGUGUAAACCACUGUCAGAGGAAAGAAAGUUCUGAUCUACCUCAGAGGAAGAGGCGGCUAACUCUGUGCCAGCAGCCGC
rnacentral:rRNA from 1 species